GGUGGAUAGUGCUGCAGGAGUAAUGGGGCAGGACAGCUGUGGUGGGGAUGGUCUCCUCACAGGUGGCUCCCACCGUUGGGCUCCGUAGGCGUCUGAGGCUUCACCAUCUGACACAGGCAUCAGCCGCUGUCUGCCUGCAGCUGAGGGCUGAGCACAGGCCCUGCCAAGCUGCUCCAGCCCCAGCCUGGUGAUUUUACACCUGCAUGACUCCCUGCAGUGGAUGAGAGACACAGCAAAGCCACACACAUCUGACGGCACACAAGCCUUGCUACAGUUCUCACAAUUAGAAAACAGGUUGGGUAUUCCCGCCUGCCCCCUUUUGAAUUGCAUCAAUUCUGAUUAUGAGCCAGAAAGAAGAAGAAAUGGAGGAUAGCUCCCCACCACUCUGUGUCACCUGCGGCCAAGCACAUUUACCGGAAGAAAACCACUUGUACAGCUACACCGAAGAAGUAGAUGAUGAUCUGAUAUGCCACAUUUGCCUGCAACCUUUGCUUCAGCCAUUAGACACGCUCUGU